ensembl:rRNA 5S_rRNA 5S ribosomal RNA
AUCAGCAGCCAUAUCACUCUGCAACUCAAGAAAGGCAACCCACUGAAGCUAAGCAGGUGUGAGCCUGGUCAGUACCUGGAUUGGAGAACUCCUGGGAAAAACUAAGGUUGCUGCUGGAA